UUGUUUCUGCAUUAUAAAGGAAGAGUUUGGUAGAAAAAACAGAAGGGUUCAGUUACAGGAAACACAAAGAGAACAAUGGAAGGAAGGUUGCCAAGGACCAUUGGAAGCAGGAAGUGCAGUGUUGAUGGAAGAAGGCAGUGAUGCAGUACAGGAAGCAGUCAAUUAGAUAAGCAGCACUGACAAAUAUAUUCAAGAAGCUGGCAAUAAGCUGUCUCACCUGUUUCAGUCUGCAUACAUGAGAGUCCUGGAGAAUGUACAGUCACAUUGAAGCCAUGUAUGUUUCAGGUUAAGAAACAGCUCCCUAACAGCAAAUACUUUCUGGAUAAAACAGAUGAGUUUUAAAGUUACUCAGCGUCCAGCUUCCUAAGAACUCAACAAUCUGGCCAUUUAUUCAGUUGUUUAUUUCUGUGCUGGCAGCACAUGCUUGAAGGGGAGAAAAAUUGUGCUAUUGCAGCUGAAUGCUGGGGGACAUAUUUGUUCCAGAACUGAGAACAGAACCUGAAGGCAGUCAGGAGAUUAACUAAUGGACGUUUCCUGUCAGGAUAAGGAAGAAGUCAUCAAAACCAAAACCUACAUAAUUCUUCAUCUGGCAUUGCCAAUUCUGAACAGUUGGCAUUCACACAGCACUAUAGCAUAAGUAAACAUCAUGCUACAAUUUCAAGAUGUCCUUGGCUAAGAUAUACCACAAAUGCAAAUUCAGUGGCUAGCAGUGUGGGAGAAACAGUGCUUAACAAUUGGAAACUACUGCAAAACUAGAUAGAUUUUUAAAAGCUGCACUAAAGUAAUAUGCAUAGAAUUCAGAUUUUAUGGUAUAAAAUUUGAAUGGAAAUCCCUUCCAUUACACAGCACAGUGAAAGCUGUUCCCCAUCCAGUACAAGCGCAGCCUACUGAGACUGCAGUAAGAGAAAGAUAAAGCUGGAAAGAAUUUACAGAUAUGUUUCUUCUUGAUUGGAGUAAUGAACAAGAAGCCUAACUGGGUGAAGCCUAAAGAGCUGAUAUGGAUGAUUUUCUCCAAGGAGCCUGGCUGAACUCUUUGCAAUAUGGAGCACACUGCAGCAUCCACAUGGUUUAUCUGACUCUCUUUAGACCCCUCUGUGACUUCUUUCUAGUCCAAAGCAAACAGUCCUAUCCUCUCAGGUAGCAGAGAGACCUGUAGCCUAAAUGAAGAUCUCCUGACCUUUGAAUGUGAUUUAUGUUUCCCAGGAACAUUGUCUGCAUUUGAUAACCAGCAUUUUCUAACAAAAGCAUGGUUUCAAUGCUGCUGCAUCAGAAAUAUACUGAAUACAUCAAAACAAGAACCUGCAUCAUUUUUUCAUUUUUUUUUUUAUCUGGACCUUUCUCUUUUGUGACUGAAAUAUAAAAGAGUGAAGUUAAGUCAGACUUGUGCUCGUCCCAGUGCUUCCAACUUUACUCUAUUUACUCCUACAGACUGAAGAAAAACAUACAAAAUGGUUGUGGGGAAAACAGGCCCCAUCUCUCUGUUCUCUGUUCAUACAUACACAGCCAUCCCUGCAAAAUAGAUCCUCCAUACCUAUAAGCCGGCUCUCUAUAUUGUCUCACAGUGAAAAAAAUUAAGGCCACAAUAAGUACCAUUUUGUAGUUUGGUUGGCAAGGGCAAAGGUGAAUAAAGUUUUGUUUUGUUGCAGCACAAAGGUUUUUUAAAAACACAUUUUCCUCUGAUUGUAAAUUCUUUUUUACAAUUAGUAUUCAUAGUUCCCAGGUAGCUAAUUUUGCUGGCAUUGCAGGGCCGAAUACAUAGUAAACAUUGUAGGAUUUUUCUUAAAUGGCCCCAGGAGAGCUUAAGGAGCUGGAAGAAUAAAGCAUAUGAUGACCAUAAUUAAGUGUAUUUCAUUUAUUACCAGCUCAACUGAGCUUAUGAGCAAGGAAACUUUUACAUUUUGAACUUGUGAACUUAGCAUGCAGUCAGACUCAUAGUUUCCCUCAUUUGUAUCUUCCUGCUAUUGUAGUGGUGGAAACAAGUUGAGAAGCAGGAAAAAUUGAUUGUAAAAAGCUGCAAUAAUUGACACAAUAGAAUCACAUGUAUAACUAUUACUUGGGGGAAAAAAACAGCAACAGCUUCUAGUUUGGCUGCACAGUUUGGUGUUCUUUUGAAGUAGUAACCAGCUUUUAUCAGCCCAAGGACAGCUGACUGUGAAGUACUCAGAACUGUCCAUGCACGGCUUUCUGCAACAAAGGGAUGUUAUGCCUCCUGGAAGUG